AGCCGGCGCACCUGUGGCAGGGCUCCUUUCUUGCUCUCUGGCACACUAAGACAAAUGAUCAGAUCUGCUGUCCAGCUUUCAACGACCUUGCUGAUGAUCUGAUCAUUUGAAUCAGGUGUUGCACCAGGGGAGGAAACGGGCGGGAGAGUGACACUCAACACUGCGUUUGUCCCGCUCUUAUCCACCAGGUGGUGCUGAAGAACCACGUUGUAAAGUCGAGUCGUCCUCAAGGUUUGGGCCUGUCGCAAAAUUCCAAUCAGUCCUGGAACUGUUGGUUGGAGGCGGUGCAGGCCCUCGGGGAAACGUGGCGUCACGAUCCACCUGAUGUCAUGCAUGCCGUCAGUGCAGCUUCCAAACAGACCCUCUGCCUGCUGGGCAAAGGGACAAAUGCGACAAGCUUGUAGCAGGUUUGACCACCUUGGAUGAGUCACUGGACCAGUAGCGGCUUGGCCUGUUGGUGCUGAUCAUGCUGGACCAAGUGUUGCGGCAGAAGAUUCCAGU